rnacentral:rRNA from 1 species
UACAGAGGUCCCAAGCGUUGUUCGGAUUCACUGGGCGUAAAGGGUGCGCAGGUGGUCGGGUAAGUCUGACGUGAAAUCCCGCAGCUUAACUGCGGAAUGGCAUUGGAUACUAUUCGGCUAGAGGGUUGGAGGGGGGACUGGAAUUCUCGGUGUAGCAGUGAAAUGCGUAGAUAUCGAGAGGAACACCAGUGGCGAAGGCGAGUCUCUGGGCCGAUACUGACGCUGAGGAGCGAAAGCGUGGGGAGCGAACAGG